rnacentral:rRNA from 1 species
GGGCCCGCACAAGCGGUGGAGCAUGUGGUUUAAUUCGAUGAUACGCGAGGAACCUUACCAGGACUUAAAUGUAAGUUGCAUGAUUCAGAAAUGAAUCUUUCUUCGGACUACUUACAAGGUGUUGCAUGGUUGUCGUCAGCUCGUGCCGUGAGGUGUCAGGUUAAGUCCUAUAACGAGCGCAACCCCUAUCGUUAGUUGCCAUCAAGUAAAGUUGGGAACUCUAGCGAAACUGCCGGUGCAAACCGUGAGGAAGGUGGGGAUGACGUCAAAUCAUCACGGCCCUUACGUUCUGGGCUACACACGUGCUACAAUGGCCGGUACAGAAAGCAGCCACUAUGCGAAUAGGAGCUAAUCUUUAAAAACCGGUCUCAGUUCGGAUCGCAGUCUGCAACUCGACUGCGUGAAGCUGGAAUCGCUAGUAA